GACGAACGCUGGCGGCGUGCUUAACACAUGCAAGUCGAACGGUAAGGCUCCAGCUUGCUGGGGUACACGAGUGGCGAACGGGUGAGUAACACGUGGGUGACCUGCCCUGCACUUCGGUAUAAGCCUGGGAAACUGGGUCUAAUACCGGAUAGGACCGCACCGUGAGGGUGUGGUGGAAAGUUUUUUCGGUGUGGGAUGGGCCCGCGGCCUAUCAGCUUGUUGGUGGGGUAAUGGCCUACCAAGGCGGCGACGGGUAGCCGGCCUGAGAGGGUGGACGGCCACAUUGGGACUGAGACACGGUCCAGACUCCUACGGGAGGCAGCAGUAGGGAAUCUUCCGCAAUGGGCGAAAGCCUGACGGAGCAACGCCGCGUGAGUGAUGAAGGUCUUCGGAUCGUAAAACUCUGUUAUUAGGGAAGAACAUAUGUGUAAGUAACUGUGCACAUCUUGACGGUACCUAAUCAGAAAGCCACGGCUAACUACGUGCCAGCAGCCGCGGUAAUACGUAGGUGGCAAGCGUUAUCCGGAAUUAUUGGGCGUAAAGCGCGCGUAGGCGGUUUUUUAAGUCUGAUGUGAAAGCCCACGGCUCAACCGUGGAGGGUCAUUGGAAACUGGAAAACUUGAGUGCAGAAGAGGAAAGUGGAAUUCCAUGUGUAGCGGUGAAAUGCGUAGAGAUAUGGAGGAACACCAGUGGCGAAGGCGACUUUCUGGUCUGUAACUGACGCUGAUGUGCGAAAGCGUGGGGAUCAAACAGGAUUAGAUACCCUGGUAGUCCACGCCGUAAACGAUGAGUGCUAAGUGUUAGGGGGUUUCCGCCCCUUAGUGCUGCAGCUAACGCAUUAAGCACUCCGCCUGGGGAGUACGACCGCAAGGUUGAAACUCAAAGGAAUUGACGGGGACCCGCACAAGCGGUGGAGCAUGUGGUUUAAUUCGAAGCAACGCGAAGAACCUUACCAAAUCUUGACAUCCUUUGACAACUCUAGAGAUAGAGCUUUCCCCUUCGGGGGACAAAGUGACAGGUGGUGCAUGGUUGUCGUCAGCUCGUGUCGUGAGAUGUUGGGUUAAGUCCCGCAACGAGCGCAACCCUUAAGCUUAGUUGCCAUCAUUAAGUUGGGCACUCUAAGUUGACUGCCGGUGACAAACCGGAGGAAGGUGGGGAUGACGUCAAAUCAUCAUGCCCCUUAUGAUUUGGGCUACACACGUGCUACAAUGGACAAUACAAAGGGCAGCGAAACCGCGAGGUCAAGCAAAUCCCAUAAAGUUGUUCUCAGUUCGGAUUGUAGUCUGCAACUCGACUACAUGAAGCUGGAAUCGCUAGUAAUCGUAGAUCAGCAUGCUACGGUGAAUACGUUCCCGGGUCU
rnacentral:rRNA from 1 species